UACAGACACCCUGGUUCAAAUCCAGGCUGUAUCACAACUGGCUGUGAUUGGGAGUCCCAUAGGGCAGCGCACAAUUGGCCGAGCGUUGUCCGAGUUUGGCCGGUGUAGGCCAUCAUAGAAACCACAAACAGUAUUUGCCAAUAUCAUAACUGGAACUGGACAUCUUUCGAGCUGAAGAUUGAGGACAGCUUUUGCAGACUUUGCAGUGCCUCCGUGUGCGACUACCUUGAGCAGCAGUUUGAGGGACUUUGCGGGGAAAAUGCCGUGCAGUGAGGCGUAGGGGAUUGUCUACAGCAGGGCGACCCCCAGUGGAGGGGCGCCGAGGGGUGUGGUGCUCCUCCAACAGCUCUCUCAUGAGGUUCUCUCUGUAUUUUUGGUGGUCCACCUUCCCUGUGGCCGACAUGGUUGCUGUAUGGACAGUGGAGAGGACAUGGACGUCUCGUUUGUCAUGCCACUUUACUGCCAGCUGUUGACCGUUCUCCUGGAACUCCACCUCCCCUCUCUGCAUCUUCCUGCAUCCGAAUGCCGGCAUCCCCUUCCUGUUCGACCUAACCCUAACCCUGUGCUGUUGGAGAGCAGAUGCUGGAAGAGUGUGGGACUGCUGUACCAAUUGUCCACGUACAAAGUGUGUCCCUUGCCGAGAUGAGGAGCCAGCAUGGUCAUCACCACGGACCCAGACACCCCAAGCCCCUCAUAAUGUUUGAUGUCAGUGGUAGACCCUGUGUACACUAUAAUAUCCAGGACAUAUCCUGUCUUCACGUCGCACAUGACAAAGAACUUGACCCCAAACCUGUGCCUUUUGGAGGGAAUAUAUUGACGGAACGCCAGCCUACCUUUCCAUAACAUCAGGGACUCAUCAAUGCAUAGGUCCUUGUAUGGCACAAAGACCCGAC
rnacentral:lncRNA from 1 species